AAUGUGAUACGGUUGGAAGCACCCAAGAUACAUGCGACCACCCACAAACCAGGAAGCAACUCUAGCUACACUGCCAGUGCCCAGCAACCAAGGACGCCAUAUAUACACGCGAAAAAUCACUCAGGAAUAUCAGGAAACCUGAUGAACAGUAGAUGCCAUAUAUACACGCGAUCGUACGAGCUGAUCCACUAGAUGUUUCUGCAAACCUGAUGAAGUGUCAGGAGCCCAAUCGUCAGCGCCCGAUUUUAGUACCACCUCUCUAGCCGGAGGAAGCCGUGGUGAGCUUAUAAGCUAGAUUUCCACUCCUCUCACAGCCUGGGUUUUGAGAGCGAGUGAAGAGGCUCGCUUGUGUUAGGCCACGAGCGCCGGGAAACGUCCAAAGGUGUAGCGUUGAGUGGACUGGGCCGGGAAGGUCGCUGACAAUUGAUAUCGGAGCCCAGUCAGUCGCCAUACCGCUCGAAAAGGGGGAUGAGAUGUCAGGAGUCUAGUCGUCAGCGCACGGCUUUAGUACCACCUCGCUAGUCGGAGAGGGCCGUGGUGAGCUUAUAAGCGAGAUUUUCCCUCCUCUCACAGCCCGGGUUUUAAGAGCGAGUGAAGGGGCUCGCUUGUGUUAGCCCACGAACGCCGAGAAACAUCCAAAGGUGUAGAGUUGAGUGGGCUGGGCCGGGAAGGUCGCUGACAAUUGGUAUCGGAGCCCAGUCAGUCGCCAUACCGCUCGAAAAGGGGGAUGGGAUGUCAGGAGUCUAGUCGUCAGCGCCCGGCUUUAGUACCACCUCGCUAGCCGGAGAGGACCGUGGUGAGCUUAUAAGAUAGAUUUCUCCUCCUCUCACAGCCCGGGUUUUGAGAGCGAGUGAAGGGGCUCGCUUAUGUUAGCCCACGAACGCCGAGAAACGUCCAAAGGUGUAGCGUUGAGUGGGCUGGGCCGGGAAGGUCGCUGACAAUUGGUAUCGGAGCCCAGUCACUCGCCAUACCGCUCGAAAAGGGGAUGGGAUGUCAGGAGUCUAGUCGUCAGCGCCCGGCUUUAGUACCACCUCGCUAGCCGGAGAGGGCCGUGGUGAGCUUAUAAGAUAUAUUUCUCCUCCUCUCACAGCCCGGGUUUUAAGAGCGAGUGAAGGGGCUCGCUUGUGUUAGCCCACGAACGCCGGAAAAUGCCUAAAGGUGUAGCAUUGAGUGGGCUGGGCCGGGAAGGUCGUUGACAAUUGGUAUCGGAGCCCAGUCAGUCGCCAUACCGCUCGAAAAGGGGGAUGUGAUGUCAGGAGUCCAGUCGUCAGCGCCCGGUUUUAGUACCACCUCGCUAGCCGGAGAGGGCCGUGGUGAGCUUAUAAGCUAGAUUUCCCCUCCUCUCAUAGCCCGGGUUUUGAGAGCGAGUGAAGGGGCUCGCUUGUGUUAGCCCACGAACGCCGAGAAACGCCCAAAGGUGUAGCGUUGAGUGGGCUAGGCCGGGAAGGUCGCUGACAUGAAGUUGUGAAGAUCUAGAUGAGCUGGUUUCUAGGUUCCAGAGAGAAACAUCAGGGAUGACAUGCCACUGCCGCAUUCAUUUAUUAUAACCUGGCAGCCCGUGCC
rnacentral:lncRNA from 1 species